UUUAGGAGGGGCUUGCGCCAUAUUAGUUAGUUGGUAGGGUAAUGGCCUACCAAGACGAUGAUGUGUAGCUGGACUGAGAGGUUGAACAGCCACAUUGGGACUGAGACACGGCCCAAACUCCUACGGGAGGCAGCAGUAGGGAAUUUUCGGCAAUGGAGGAAACUCUGACCGAGCAACGCCGCGUGAACGACGAAGUACUUUGGUAUGUAAAGUUCUUUUAUCAAGGAAGAAAAGCAAGUGGUGAACCAUUUGUUUGCCGGUACUUGAUGAAUAAGCCCCGGCUAAUUAUGUGCCAGCAGCCGCGGUAAGACAUAAGGGGCAAGUGUUAUCCGGAAUUAUUGGGCGUAAAGGGUGCGUAGGCGGUCUAGUAAGUCAGUGGUGUAAUGGCAACGCUCAACGUUGUCCGGCUAUUGAAACUGCUAAACUUGAGUUAGAUAGAGGCGAGUGGAAUUUCAUGUGUAGCGGUAAAAUGCGUAAAUAUAUGGAGGAACACCAGAGGCGUAGGCGGCUCGCUGGGUCUUAACUGACGCUGAGGCACGAAAGCGUGGGGAGCAAACAGGAUUAGAUACCCUGGUAGUCCACGCCGUAAACGAUGAGUACUAAGUGUCGGGUUAAACCGGUACUGAAGUUAACACAUUAAGUACUCCGCCUGAGUAGUACGUACGCAAGUAUGAAACUUAAAGGAAUUGACGGGACUCCGCACAAGCGGUGGAUCAUGUUGUUUAAUUCGAAGAUACCCGAAAAACCUUACCAGGUCUUGACAUGUUUUUGCGAAACGGUAGUAAUAUCGUGGAGGUUAUCAGAAACACAGGUGGUGCAUGGUUGUCGUCAGCUCGUGUCGUGAGAUGUUAGGUUAAGUCCUAAAACGAGCGAAACCCUUAUCGUUAGUUGCCAGCACGUUAUGGUGGGGACUUUAACGAGACUGCCAGUGAUAAAUUGGAGGAAGGUGAGGAUCACGUCAAAUCAGCAUGCCCCUUAUGACCUGGGCUACAAACGUGAUACAAUGGCUGUUACAAAGGGUAGCUGAAACGCAAGUUCUUGGCCAAUCCCCAAAAACAGUCUCAGUCCGGAUUGAAGUCUGCAACUCGACUUCAUGAAGUGGAAUCG
rnacentral:rRNA from 1 species